rnacentral:rRNA from 1 species
UACGUAGGGACCAAGCGUUGUUCGGAUUUACUGGGCGUAAAGGGCGCGUAGGCGGCCCUCCUUGUCGCGUGUGAAAGCCCCGGGCUCAACCUGGGAAUUGCGCGCGAAACGGGCGGGCUUGAGUUCGGGAGAGGAGCGUGGAAUUCCCAGUGUAGAGGUGAAAUUCGUAGAUAUUGGGAAGAACACCGGUGGCGAAGGCGGCGCUCUGGACCGAGACUGACGCUGAGGCGCGAAAGCGUGGGGAGCAAACAGG